AUGGGCAUUGCGGUGGGGCCCUUAUGCUUGUGGGGCCCCGGGCAUCUGCCCAGCAUGUCCAUGCAGGCGGCCCUGCUGCAUAACCCCCAUAUGGGCAGCAAGAACUGGGGAGGCUGCAGACUGGAAAGGGGAAUGACUCUGGGUGCAGUCACAGAGAAUCUCCCUCCAGGGCAUCCUGGAAUGGGUGAGUACCAUAGAAUAUGUUACAGACUGUAAACAUU